UACGAAGGGGGCUAGCGUUGCUCGGAAUCACUGGGCGUAAAGGGUGCGUAGGCGGGUCUUUAAGUCAGAGGUGAAAUCCUGGAGCUCAACUCCAGAACUGCCUUUGAUACUGGCGAUCUUGGGUCCGGGAGAGGUGAGUGGAACUCCGAGUGUAGAGGUGAAAUUCGUAGAUAUUCGGAAGAACACCAGUGGCGAAGGCGGCUCACUGGCCCGGUACUGACGCUGAUGUGCGAAAGCGUGGGGAGCAAACAGG
rnacentral:rRNA from 1 species